GAUCAACUGCUAUUGACAUUUUUGAAUUGGGACAAUUGUGGAGUGAUUCGGAAGAAAAACGUUUGCAACACAUCCAUUCCAGACUGCUCUGACAGAUAAAACUGACACACUUGAUGAGGACACAGUCAAAGCUUUAAAAGACCGUGUGAUAAAGCAGUCUUCAAUUACUACGGUGUCUGAAUUGCAAGAAGAAAUGACCCUCCACUUAAACAUGUGACAUCUAAACUGUUUUGUGUUUUAGUUCAGCUUUUUAUAGGUUUAUCUUAAGUUGGUUAAAGGCGGAGUGCACUAUUUUUGAAAGCCAAUGUUAACAUUUGAAAUUACCUAAACAAACAUGCCUCUACCCCAAUAGAAUCGGGACCUUCUUUUGAUAGAGCCACCACACACAUACGCAACCCCGGCAAGGAUGUCGGUUAGUAGACACACCCCUUACUGCUGGUUGGCUACAAGUGUGUUUUGGUAGUCGGCCCAAUUUCCUUUUCCAAAGCGUUUUUCAAACAUUGUGCACUCAGUCUUUAAAUUGCACUUAAAACAUUUUUUUUCAGUAACUUUUUAUGCAGAGAAUUACA